GAUGAACGCUAGCGGGAGGCUUACACAUGCAAGUCGAACGAGAAGUCGGAGCUUGCUCCGGCAGACAGUGGCGAACGGGUGAGUAACACGUGAGUAACCUGCCCCCGACUCUGGGACAACUCUGGGAAACUGGAGCUAAUACCGGAUACGCGACGAGACCGCAUGGUCAUCGUCGGGAAAGAAUUUCGGUCAGGGGAUGGACUCGCGGCCUAUCAGCUUGUUGGCGGGGUAACGGCCCACCAAGGCGACGACGGGUAGCCGGCCUGAGAGGGCGACCGGCCACACUGGAACUGAGACACGGUCCAGACUCCUACGGGUGGCAG
rnacentral:rRNA from 1 species